CCCCUCUCAGGAUCACACCUGGAGAGUUUCCAGUGCUCUACCGGUCUCGGUUACGGAAGGGAGAGUCAAGCGGACGCACACCCAUUCCAUUCCUAGCUUGGGCAGUGGCUAGCGAUUGGAAGGCCAUCUGUUACAAGU